rnacentral:rRNA from 1 species
GGAGUCUGGGCCGUGUCUCAGUCCCAAUGUGGCCGUCCGCCCUCUCAGGCCGGCUACUGAUCGUCGCUUUGGUGGGCCGUUACCCCGCCAACUGGCUAAUCAGACGCGGAUCCAUCUUUCACCGAUAAAUCUUUCCUCAUAUCACCAUGCGGUGACAUGAGCGUAUGCGGUAUUACCAGCCGUUUCCAGCUGCUAUCCCCCUGUGAAAGGCAGGUUAUCCACGCGUUACUCACCCGUCCGCCACUAAACUAAAAGAAAUCACUCCGAAAAGAUCUUUCAAUCAGUCCCGUUCGACUUGCAUGUGUUAGGCACGCCGCCAGCGUUCAUC